GAGAGUCAAAAAGACCGCGAAACCGUUAGGAGGGAAACGAAUGCAGCUGAAUUAGCUCUGCCCAAGUUCAGGAGCGACGUUGAUCAGUGAUGCCGGUCCGCAAAAGCCGAUAGGUUUUGCCCUCCGGAUAGCUGUCAACUCCUCUGCACUCUUGGGCAAGCUGGCCAACAACAGUUGCCUUGUGGCUGACAAGGGCCGUCGGGUAGGUGCCCACUCCUCGGAGUGGUGCUUAUAGCCGGCGGUCUGGAAGUCUGCAGGUGACUGAGGAUAACUGGCAGCGUAGGCCCCUUGGGGUUUGGGCCGCUUCUGGCCGUUUGGGCACCGCUUCAGGGACUGCGUGCAGUGUCUGCGGACGGAUGCCCGCUCGGACGGGAGACCGGUCACACCUUGCGCUGUAGUUGUUGGUGAUCAAAUGGCUGCAUCCGACCCGUCU
rnacentral:rRNA from 1 species